UCCAGGUUGGCUCAGCACGAGAAAACCCCAGAAUCCGGUUUCUAAGAAGGUGAGAGUCCCAAGUACCAAGCAGAAAUAAAGACAAGUGGAAGUCCAAGCUGGUGAUCCAAAGAAAGACCGACAACAGGAGAUGUUGCAGACUCAGACCACAACAUCUACAUUCUAUUGGAUCCUUUCUUCUGGAGAACCCUAAUAUACACAGGACAUCUCAAAUGUCUUUGAACAGCAAAGGAGGACUAGAUAGGAAAAAGUAAGGAGACCAAAUACAUGGAACUGAAGCCCAG